AUUGAACGCUGGCGGCAGGCCUAACACAUGCAAGUCGAACGGCAGCACAGAAGAGCUUGCUCUUUGGGUGGCGAGUGGCGGACGGGUGAGUAAUGUCUGGGAAACUGCCCGAUGGAGGGGGAUAACUACUGGAAACGGUAGCUAAUACCGCAUAACGUCGCAAGAACAAAGUGGGGGACCUUCGGGCCUCACGCCAUCGGAUGUGCCCGGAGGGGAUUCGCUAGUAGGUGGGGUAAGGGCCCACCUAGGUGACGAUCCCUAGCUGGUCUGAGAGGAUGACCAGCCACACUGGAACUGAGACACGGUCCAGACUCCUACGGGGGCAGCAGUGGGGAAUAUUGCACAAUGGGCGCAAGCCUGAUGCAGCCAUGCCGCGUGUAUGAAGAAGGCCUUCGGGUUGUAAAGUACUUUCAGCGGGGAGGAAGGCGGUGAGGUUAAUAAUCUUGCCGAUUGACGUUACCCGCAAAAGAAGCACCGGCUAACUACGUGCCAGCCGCCGCCGUAA
rnacentral:rRNA from 1 species